rnacentral:rRNA from 1 species
GACGAACGCUGGCGGCGUGCUUAACACAUGCAAGUCGAACGGAAAGGCCCUGCUUGCAGGGUACUCGAGUGGCGAACGGGUGAGUAACACGUGGGUGAGCUGCCCUGCACUUCGGGAUAAGCCUGUGAAACUGGGUCUAAUACCGGAUAGGAGCCAUUUUUAGUGUGAUGGUUGGAAAGUUUUUUCGGUGGAGUGUGAGCUCGCGGCCUAUCAGCUGGCUGGUGGGGUAAUGGCCUACCAAGGCGGCGACGGGGAGCAGGCCUGAGAGGGUGGACGGCCACAUUGGGACUGCGGCAAGGCCAAGACGCCGACGGGAGGCAGAGGGGGGGAAUAUUGAACAAGGGGAGCAAGGCUGCUGCAGCGACGACGCGCGGGGGAUGACGGACUUGGGGUUGUAAACUGAUUUCGCUAGGGACGAAGCUUUUUGUGACGGUACCUAGAGAAGAAGCACCGGCUAACUACGUG